rnacentral:lncRNA from 1 species
GAAAUCCUAAUCAUCUUCUGUGAAUGGAUAAUACCCUUUUGACAGGUAUGAGAUGUUGAAUAAAUUCUUUCAUAGCUUAACAUCCUCUGUUAGAUUGCUUCUAUUGAAAGAAUCUAUGUCAACGGUUACGAAUAUUAGCCGUCAGGUUCAGAGCUUAACGGAGAGGAGUUUUGGUUAUAAUCAUUUAGGUUAGCUUAAGUUUAUUAUGCCAGAGGCAAUUGAGAUCAAGAUGAUCCUUAUUCGCGAUGAUCGGACGAAUUGUAUGAAGCCAGAUCUUCAUAUCACUUUGAAUUUCGUUAUAGUUGAAAACGACGAAAAUAUGAGUUCUGAUGGCGCUUAGUUCAAAACAAGUUCCAAUCGAAGACGUAGAAACAGAUAAGAAAGAAUCCAGUGUGUUAACUUCUGAACCUCAAGUUCACCAUAGCUCCAACAGAGAGAA